CAUAUCAAUAAGCGGAGGAAAAGAAACUAACUAGGAUUCCCUUUAGUAACUGCGAGUGAACAGGGAAAAGCUCAAAUUUAAAAUCUGGCAGUCUUUUAGCUGUCCGAGUUGUAAUCUAGAGAAGUGUUAUCUGCGCUGGACCGUGUACAAGUCUCCUGGAAUGGAGCAUCAUUGAGGGUGAGAAUCCCGUCUUUGACACGGACUGCCAGGGCUUUGUGAUGCGCUCUCAAAGAGUCGAGUUGUUUGGGAAUGCAGCUCAAAAUGGGUGGUAAAUUCCAUCUAAAGCUAAAUAUUGGCGAGAGACCGAUAGUGAACAAGUACCGUGAGGGAAAGAUGAAAAGAACUUUGGAAAGAGAGUUAAACAGUACGUGAAAUUGCUGAAAGGGAAACGCUUGACGUCAGUCGCGUUGCCCAGGGAUCAUCCCUUGCUUUUGCUUGGUGUACUUUCUGGUUGACGGGCCAGCAUCAAUUUUGAUUAUUGGAUAAAGGUCAAGGGAAUGUGGCAUCUUAGGAUGUGUUAUAGCCCUUGGUUGCAUACAAUGGUUGGGAUUGAGGAACUCAGCACGCGCCGCAAGGCAGGAUUUUUAUAUCACAUACGUGCUUAGGAUGCUGGCAUAAUGGCUUUAAUCGACCCGUCUUGAAACACGGACCAAGGAGUCUAACAUACCUGCGAGUGUUUGGGUGGAAAACUCAAGUUCGUAAUGAAAGUGAAAGUUAAUAUCCCUGUUUGUGGGGAGCAUUGACGCCCGGACCAGACCUUUUGUGACGGUUCCGCGGUAGAGCAUGUAUGUUGGGACCCGAAAGAUGGUGAACUAUGCCUGAAUAGGGUGAAGCCAGAGGAAACUCUGGUGGAGGCUCGUAGCGAUUCUGACGUGCAAAUCGAUCGUCAAAUUUGGGUAU
rnacentral:rRNA from 1 species